rnacentral:tRNA from 1 species
GGAGAGGUGGCAGAGCGGUUGAAUGCACCGGUCUUGAAAACCGGCAGGGGUUAACGCCCCUCCAGGGUUCGAAUCCCUGCCUCUCCGCCA